rnacentral:rRNA from 1 species
UCAGGUGGCCGCAGAGAAUAGGCCCAAGCGACUGUUUACCAAAAACAUAGGUUUCUGCUAAGUCGCAAGACGAUGUAUAGGAGCUGACGCCUGCCCGGUGCUGGAAGGUUAAGGGGAUCUGUUAGAGCAAUCGAAGCAGUGAACUUAAGCCCCAGUAAACGGCGGCCGUAACUAUAACGGUCCUAAGGUAGCGAAAUUCCUUGUCGGGUAAGUUCCGACCCGCACGAAAGGCGUAACGAUUUGGGCACUGUCUCAACAACAGACUCGGUGAAAUUGUAAUUCCGGUGAAGAUGCCGGAUACCUGCGACAGGACGGAAAGACCCCAUGGAGCUUUACUGUAGCUUGACAUUGGGUCUUGGUACUACAUGUACAGGAUAGGUGGGAGGCUUUGAAACCAGGACGCCAGUUUUGGCGGAGCCAUCCUUGGGAUACCACCCUUGUAGUACUGGGACUCUAACCAUAGGCCAUGAAUCUGGUCUUGGGACACUGUCAGGUGGGCAGUUUGACUGGGGCGGUCGCCUCCCAAAAGG